rnacentral:tRNA from 1 species
UGACGAUGGUGUUCACGAAAGCAACUUUUAUUUGAUUACUGCAGCAAUGGAUUUUGUGUAGUAGUGGAUUCAGGCAGUAUGAAGGAAGCUCUGAUCCAUGUUUAGCAGGGGCCUGUAGCUCAGUUGGUUAGAGCGCACGCCUGAUAAGCGUGAGGUCAGUGGUUCAAAUCCACUCUGCCCCACUACGGUUUAGGUAGAUUAUUAUACUUGAAUUGUAUUGGGGCUUUAGCUCAGUUGGUAGAGCAUCUGCUUUGCAAGCAGAGGGUCAACGGUUCGAGUCCGUUAAGCUCCACGAUGCGUCAGUAGUUCCGACAAGCAUCACUGUUAUUUGACAAAUUGAAGCAAUAAGCAUAUUGAAGAAGUAAGUUCUUGGUGAACUUAUAAACUUUCCUGUUAAUGUGAAGUAGAAUACUCAUC